rnacentral:rRNA from 1 species
AUUGAACGCUGGCGGCAGGCCUAACACAUGCAAGUCGAGCGGAUGAAGGGAGCUUGCUCCUGGAUUCAGCGGCGGACGGGUGAGUAAUGCCUAGGAAUCUGCCUGGUAGUGGGGGAUAACGUCCGGAAACGGGCGCUAAUACCGCAUACGUCCUGAGGUAGAAAGUGGGGGAUCUUCGGACCUCACGCUAUCAGAUGAGCCUAGGUCGGAUUAGCUAGUUGGUGGGGUAAAGGCCUACCAAGGCGACGAUCCGUAACUGGUCUGAGAGGAUGAUCAGUCACACUGGAACUGAGACGCGGUCCAGACUCCUACGGGAGGCAGCAGUGGGGAAUAUUGGACAAUGGGCGAAAGCCUGAUCCAGCCAUGCCGCGUGUGUGAAGAAGGUCUUCGGAUUGUAAAGCACUUUAAGUUGGGAGGAAGGGCAGUAAGUUAAUACCUUGCUGUUUUGACGUUACCAACAGAAUAAGCACCGGCUAACUUCGUG